rnacentral:rRNA from 1 species
UAUGUAGGGUGCGAGCGUUAAUCGGAAUUACUGGGCGUAAAGCGUGCGCAGGCGGUUUUGUAAGUCUGACGUGAAAUCCCCGGGCUUAACCUGGGAAUUGCGUUGGAGACUGCAAGGCUGGAGUCUGGCAGAGGGGGGUAGAAUUCCACGUGUAGCAGUGAAAUGCGUAGAGAUGUGGAGGAACACCGAUGGCGAAGGCAGCCCCCUGGGUCAAGACUGACGCUCAUGCACGAAAGCGUGGGGAGCAAACAGG